rnacentral:tRNA from 1 species
GCCGCGGUGGUGGAAUUGGUAGACGCAGAGGACUCAAAAUCCUCCGGUAGCAAUACCAUGAGAGUUCGAGUCUCUCCCGCGGCA